AAAAAAAGAGUCCUCUGGAGUGAAAUGCAGUUAGUUAAAGUGAAACAGCUGUACCGCGACCCCACCCCAGACGACAGACGGUACGAAUGCGGCAGGAUAGCACAUGUACGGCCCAGCCCUUCCCUUCAGCAGCGCAUCGGCAGGCAAGCUGGGGCCUGAAGUGGACUUUAACUCUGUGCUGCAGUGGGAGAUAACCAAACAUGCGUUACGUUUCGGUCCAAUCGGGACGGCUAUUACGCAGCGACGUGGAAUACCUUUAGAUUUUUGUCACCGAAGCCACUGACCGACUAAGCUGCAAAGUAGGGAAAGGAUGUUAUUGCUAAAUUAUCUUAACAGUAAGACGUGAAAACAGAAACACUGGCUUUCUUUUUUUGUUCCAUGCAGCUUCGAUCUAGGCCGCUCGGCUCUAAAACAGCUUGGACGUCGCACCGACAGGCAACGGAGAGGCACGGUGCGUGUAGGACGCCUUGUGCCUCAUGUGCAAGGCAGCGAGCUUGUUUGAACAGGAUGCUGGUGUUGACUAACCGUGUGACAACACAACCCACGCUGCUGGUGGGUCUGGAAGAAAGAAAGAAAGCAAAAAAACAUACACAGAGGAGGAGGAGAGGAACGCUUCGCAGACAGGAACAGAAGAAUGUAAGACCAGAGAGGAGUAAGAAAUGGGUAAAUUGGUUGACAACAACAAAUCAAAGAAACAGACCUAAAAAAAAACUGAAUCUAAUUCCAGGGACAGUAAAAAAAAGCAACAAAACUAUCAGGGAAGACUCAGGAACAGGAGCGAGGAGUUCAAUCUAAAAAACAAAAAUAAAAAAGGGGAAGUAAAAGCAGCAAAAGACGAGAGAGGCUGGGGGAUAUAUUUAGCAGCUCAUUAGUUUGAGAUGUCCUCUACUCAGCGGGCCGGUCUCUCCGACGAGGUCCUUUGUUAAUCAUUAUGAUUGCCUGCUGCUUCAGACAACA